rnacentral:sRNA from 1 species
AUUAAUUGUGGCUGGACGCAGUGGCGCGGCAGUUUAAUUCUCCGGCGGCUGCAGAUUGACGGGACGAGAUGGUCCUGGCGGGGCUCAUCAGGAAACUCGGUCAUCAGCUGGCCGAGAUCAGGGAGCGCGCUCUCAAGAGUAUUCUCUGCAAGAUUGAGCACAAGUUAAUCUGCUACGCUGAUCUCAUUCAGGAGAGGCAACUUUUUCUUCAUUUGCUGGAAUGGUUCAAUUUCCCGUCCGUUCCGAUGAAGGAAGAGGUUCUGAACCUGUUAAGCAGAUUGGUUAAGUAUCCCCCAGCAGUCCAACAUUUGGUUGACGUUGGUGCAGUAGAGUUCUUAUCUAAGCUUCGGUCUAAUGUGGAGCCAAAUCUGCAGGCUGAAAUUGAUGGCAUUCUGGAUGGACUUUUUCUUCUUCCUUCGGAAGUUCCUGCACUAUCUUCUGCCUCAUACCAAACCAAUCAAACUGAAUUGUCAAAAAACCCUGAAAUCUUAACAGGAUAUUUUCCCCAAGACAAAAGUAAUUUCCAGCAGAUGGAAGUGCCGCCACGACCAGUGGUAAAUCAGACUGUGAAGUGCUUGAAGUUUUCUACAUUUCCUUGGCUACCCCUGACCACCACAGACAGACAUGUCCUCUCCUCUAAUGAAAGCUCUUUAAGAAGUAGUAACCACACUUUAAUCUGGAACACCUGUGAACUAUUGAAGGAUGUUAUCAUGCAAGAUUUUCCUGCUGAGAUUUUCCUUCAAAGGCCAAAAAUUGUUCAGAGCCUUUUAUCUCUGUUGAAACUGGCCUUUGGAGGAGAUGGAAAGCAUCGCCUGGCAUUACAGUCAGUGUCCUGCCUGCAGCAGCUGUGCAUGUAUUUAAGAAACAGACUUAACUUUCACCGAGAUCCAGGUUUUUUCUCCAAUAAACACGACACAGUUUCCCAAAAUUCUUCUUUGUCUUAUUGUCAUGAAGCAAGAGGUACUCAUCAUUCCCAGAAUCCUUCCCCAGGAAGCAGCAGCCCUCGGCCUUCUGUGGUUGGGCGCACAGGCCAGCGACCCAGAGGAGAUGGCCAGGACUGGGAUGCAGCGUCCUCUAGUGGAAGUAGUAGUCAUGCUCAUGUAAACUCCAGGAUAUCCGUUCAUUCACCUUUGGAUAUGGGACACAUAGAUCUGCCAGAGCUGGAAACUGAAGACACAUUGGAACUACAAUUCCAGCAGCUCAGUCUUCCCCAGUUUUGUGUCUCCAUUCUGGAAUCAGCUGUUCCUCUCUUAAGAACAGGUAGCAGACAAGUGAUAAUAAGAGUUCUGGAAUUGCUUACAGAGGAUAUGACACUUAUUGGUGAAGCAAUUUCAACAGAUAUCUGGGAUGACAGCAGCCUUUUUGGUAUAGAUAUGAAGGAGAAACUACUCCUGGUGUUGGGAGCCCUUGGAGAAACCAUGUGCUACCAUAAAAGUAGUAUCAGUUUGGAGCAGCCAGAGGUGAUGCUUGUGCACCACAGAAUGGCCUUUAUCAGCAUUUCCCUGUUUGCAGUUCGACUGCUACAAACGCUUCUCCCUGUUGAAAAGGCAAGCGAGUUUUUAUCAGAGCCUAUGUCAACAGCAUUAUUUCUCCUUUCUUUGGACAUGCCUAUUUCUUUGGAAUAUCCAAAUAUUCAUGAAGCUGUUGUGGCCUAUUUGGAACAGCUGAAUUCUGAAAACUACAGUAUUUAUAAACGAACUGCAGAGGCCGUUUAUUCAAUUGAAUGCACCUGUAACUUCCUGUCUGAUAUUGGGAAAGAGGGAGAGAAGAAUCUCUUAGAAUUAGUGGAGCUGGCAGACCAAGCCUUGCGUAGCUUUUCCUAUCAUCAGCAUUUCCCCCUAAUAAAGGAAAUCAUCAGCAUUUGUUCAAAGAUGUAAUAUUUUCUUUCUUAAUGUGAUUACGUUAUUAUUGGACACUUAGGGUGUGUGUAAACUUAGAAACAGUGAAAGUGAAACUGACUGUAUAUCUUUGUUAUUAUUUUUUAGUUUAAUUGCUUUUAUAUGUGUCUGAUUUUUAAAGGGUAUAUGUACAGCUGCAUUAGGAUACUUAACUGUUAUAUUCAAGAUUAAACUUCAAAAAUAUCAUGCCUACAAUCAAAAUGAAUAAUCCUUGGAUUUUUAUACAUUUGUUUUUGGUAUCCAUCCAGACUAUUCACACACAUUGUUUGUUUAUCUUUAAAGUUUUAAUUAAUAACUUAAACUGAGAGUUUUGUAACUUUUAUUACUUUGUACCUUUUUCUUAUGUGGAUUUUUAGAAAAGACUGUGUAUUGGUUAAUUUAUUUUGAGGACAUCAGCAAAUUUCUAUUUAGAACUUAGUGUCUUUAUUGCUUUUGGAAAGAAUAAAUUCUGUGAUGUGAU